GAGAGAGAGCUCACGGGGCCGUUGAUUUCGUCUCCUUCGAACAUCCACCGUUGAUCUAUGGGCACAACGGCGGAGCCCUGGCAACUAAUCUGGAACGACCGACUGGUACUGCCACGGGAAGUCACUCGAACCGACGGUGGUGGAGCUGCUAUUGCGCAUCCACACAAUAAUGCGGUCGUCUUCAGAGAAACGCAAGAAGGUUUCGGUGACGGGGGCGAGCACACCACCGACGGGGAAGGAUAAGGAACCGCCAUUCUACUCUUGCUGCAAACUCUCCUCAGUCCUAAGCUAAUCUCUGCCUGUACUCUGCCCCAAGCCUGUAAUCAAAUUAGGCGAGCAAAUCAAGGUUGCAGAUAGAGGGGACUACUAUACUGCCCUGUCUAUAGGGUGAGUGUUUUUGGGAAGUCAUUUUUGAAUUGUCCCUAAGUCCAUAUGAGGACAUUUUGGGGAAUGACUAUGUAUGCAUAUUCUGAAAAUUUUGACACUCAAGUAUUGUAUAUAUCGACAUGGUUGUAUGUAUUUUGCUUGUCGUUGCAUAGGUAGUUAUUGAGUUCCAGAUUCCACAGUC